CACUUCUGUACAGUGUAUGAAAGCAGAUGUUAUAUCACACAUAUGGUUCUUUAACAGUCCACGUGUGAGAAGCGUUGACUGUAAUUUGCACUGACAAAUGAUGUUUCCAGAUGUGCGACAGGCCAGCGGAACAUAAAGCCCCCGAACUUAAUCUUUGUUUUCUCUGGGCGCGCUGUGGUCGACAUGUUACCAUUAAUUAGCACUAGCGUGUGUGUGCUUUGGCCGAGAGACGUUUAUGGAGGUUGACACGACUCAACAGAGGUGAAGAUCUUUCCUCAGGGUCGUGAUCUUCUGAGGAAAACAUUUGAACGUGUUCUGACGACACGUGGCCUGCGGUCUCAAAGUCAGGAUUGUAAUCUUUGUCGUUAAUGAAGAAGAAAUUUCAGGGUUUUAAUAGGGUUUUGAAACGACGGCUCGGGUUUGGAACUCAACAACAGUCCUGUCUAUAAAAGGGCGGUGGGUGCACUGAACUACGGUUUAUGGAUUUUACUUUAUGGAUUUAAAAAAAAGACUUGGAGAACACAACAUUUUAAGUUUUGGGAUCAUCCCAUCGUCUCGUACUUCCUUGGAACCCCCCUUGAUGUUACUCUUACCCUGGCUCCAUUUUAGUGCUCAAAAUGGCGGUCGGGUCUUAAAGUGUGAAGCCAUCCCGGGGGAAAGACAUUAACUGAGAGUGGCAGUUGUUGGAAUUAAACUGUUCUCAGUGAAGUUCAGUGGAGACUCAACAAAUUUGAGACUCAACGUCAUUCAAAUUUGAUGCAAAUUCUAAAUGUUUUGAUUAGCUACGACUGAGGUCAGGUCAGGGUCGUCGAUCCUUGGCGACUGUUCCGUCUGGUACAGACCGGUGCCGACGUUUGCCUACAGAGAAUCACUGGUAAAAUCUGCCAAAAACUCUUGUAUCCUGUUCCCAGCUGAAGUCUCUGUGUCUCUGUGUCUCUUUUCAAGUGAGUUUUUUCAACCUAUCAUGAGACCAGUGGUUUCUGGUUUUUUUACCUCUGUCUCCUUCGACACUUACAAGUUAAACACAUCUCUCAGAGCAUGCUAUUUCCUGAAGAUGAAUAGUGCUCUGUGAUGAGGAGAGCUAAAUGCAUCCUCUCAUUUCCUCUGGAACACGAGUCUGUGUUUAGGUGACGGCUUCAGUAAAGGAUGUGGGCAGACGAAGUAUGACCUCUUUGGUGCCGUUUAUUUAUUUUUUUUCCUCAGCGUCUCUGCCACGUGGACGUUGGAUCAUCGAACCGGUCGUUUUCCUUGUUUGAUUUUGGGGUUUUUUUCCGACACAAACGAUUGUAGAUUUGGACGAAGACGAGUCGAACGACGAACCUGGAAAGACAAAGCUGCACGUCCUGAACCAACACCAAGAGAAGGUGUUCCUCUCCGAGAACGUUCUCAUAGCACAGGCAGCAUUUCAGCUACGAUGGUGGACUUUUAUUUUACUGCUUUAAAGUUGGAGUAACCCAGUAGAAGAAAUAUUGGGUUUUGUCAUGGGGAUCUGAUGAAUGGUGGUAAUUCUGACUCCAACAGAUAGUGAUCAUUAUCAUUAUUAUUAUUAGUUGAAUUUUCAAAAUAUAUUUUUUUUCGAUUUUAUCAAUAUAUCGAUAUUAUUUUAUCCUGUAUGAAUCGGAGAAAGACGUAUAAUUUUAAAAAUAUUUCUAGAAUUAAUUCUGUCACUGCAACCUGGUAUGAAAUGACCCACGGGCAGGUGUAGGGACCAGAGGUUGGGAACCCCUAAUAUACAGUAUAAAUGGUACUGGACAGUGUAUUGGAUCCAAUUAAAACUAUUUUAAUUUUUUUUUAUAUAUAUUUUUUGUAAAAUCUAAUUCUAUUUUCAUACAUUUCUGACCAAAGGACAAUUUAAAUGUCUGAUUCCACAUUAAGUUUCCUGAUCACAGAACUUCUAUAAAUACUACAGGGUGUGUACUAAUAAUACAUUAGGUGUAGUUUUCGUAGUUUGUUCAACUUUAGAUCAAGCCUUCCAGCGUUUGUCCAGCUGCUGCUCAGGGCUGAUUUGCUUUGAUAGUCCGAUCUGUUUACUACCCAGAGUCCUCGGGGCUAACUGGGCUCAGAUCAGCCACAAAUAAACCAAGGAGUGAGGAAAAUAUUUACCACAGCUGCGCUCACUGACUGCGCAGCGUUCCAGGAGCGACAGGCUUUCAGGUACAAGGCAGGUCUGGCCUCUGAAGAUGCCUUCAGAGGCCAGACCUGCAUUUAUAAAAUGUUUGCUUGGAUAUGAGCAUUAGGAUUCCCCCAGUGGCCAGGGAUGGGAAUGUAAAGAGAGGAACUGGGCUGGAUGGACAUAAAAGAUGUUUCAACAGACAGGCGGACGUUUUUACCCCAGUGGAUUCUGGGUAUAUCAGAGGAACUUAACAGAAAAUCAGAGAUGGUGCUGGUCCAGUUCAGUAGAAACGUCUGUGGGUAAACGGUUUCACAGGGAAGGGAAUGUGUGAUGUGGUUUUAGUGGAAUGUGUGACUUGUGUCGACAGUUACUUCAAAGAUCCACACGAAUAAUGAUACAAAAACUUCCUUAAAGGACAAGAAAAAAAAGACCACGACUCUCUAAAUCUGUGGUGUCAAACAUAUGGCCCGCAGGCCAAGACCGGCUCGUUGGGUGGUAUAAUCUGGCCUGCUUAGUGAAAAAAAACACUUCAUGUCUUUGUGAUGUUUUGUCAAAUUAUGUUUCAUUAAAUUUGAAAAAGAUUUCUUUUAAUGAACUUGAACUUAUUUGCGUGAAAACAAAGAAGAAAAACGUGGAUUUGUUGUUAUUUAUAGGUAAUUAUGUGAUGAUUGUACCCACUUGACAUUUAAUCCCACAUUCACUGUAGGUGUGAAUGGGAGUGUGAACGCUUGCGGUGGACUGGUGAACUCCAGCUUCAAUCCCAAAUUUCCAUCCCUAAACUGAAAAAAAAAAAAAAAUUUCUAACCCUCAAUAUAUAAAUUCUCCAGAACCUGAAAUGAAAAAAAAAAAA